AACGGCCGCGGUACCCUAACCGUGUCGCCUGUUUUACAAAAACAUUUUUUUUAGAUUUUUAUUAAAAAUAAAUUCUGCUCAAUGAUUAAUUUAAUUGCUGGAGUAUUUUGACUCUGCUAAGGUAUUGAAAUAAGAUUUUAAUUGAGUGCUAAGAGAAUGGAUUAAUAAAGAUUAAUUUUAUUUAUUUUAAUAAUUAGAAUUUCAUUUUAAAAUGAAAAAGUUUUAAUUUUUUUAUGGGACAAGAAGACCCUGUGAAUUUUUUUAAAAUUUUAUGAUUAUUUUAUUAUAAAUUUUAUUUUGAUUGGGGCGAUAGAAAAAUAAUGAAUAACUUUAUUUUAAUGAUGUUUUAUAAGUUAAUUAGAAAAUACUCUAGGGAUAACAGCGUUAUUAUUAUGGAUAGUUCAUAUUGGUAUAAUAGUUUGCGACCUCGAUGUUGAAUUAGGUAAACCUGGUUGUUGUAGAGGAUAGCUAAGGAAGAUUGUUCAUCUUUUAAAUUACUACGUGAUCUGAGUUCAGACCGGAUGUUGGAUCAGGACAUCCCAAUGGUGCAGCCGCUAUUAAAGGUUCGUUUGUUCAACGAUUAAAGUCCUACGUGAUCUGAGUUCAGAC
rnacentral:rRNA from 1 species